AUGAAACAACUCCAUUCUUUCUUUCAAAGUCCUGGAGAGGAAGAUGCAUCUUGGGCUAACAUAUACAACCGACUUUAUCGAGAAAUAUGCAUGGGAUUAGCCACAUCAAUGAGAUCUCAAAUCAACUUAUUGGUCUUAUGGUAUAUCUCAGUAUCGAGGAUGAUACCAAAGAUCUGUAUUUGUUUAUAAACUCUCUGAGCGAAUGGGUAAUACUUGGAGUAGCUAUUUACGAUACUAGCGAAUGGGUAAUACUUGGAGUAGCUAUUUACGAUACUAUGUAAUUUGUGCAACCAGAUGUCCAUACAAUAUGCAUGGGAUUAGCCGCAUCAAUGGGAUCUUUUAUCUUGGUUGGAGGAGAAAUUACCAAAUGUCUAGCAUUCCCUCACGCUUGGGUAAUGAUCCAUCAACCUGCUAGUUCUUUUUAUGAGGCACAAACGGGAGAAUUUAUCCUGGAAGCGGAAGAACUGCUGAAACUACGCGAAACCCUCACAAGGGUUUAUGUACAAAGAACGGGCAAACCCUUAUGGGUUGUAUCUGAAGACAUGGAAAGAGAUGUUUUUAUGUUAGCAACAGAAGCCCAAGCUUGUGGAAUUGUUGAUCUUGUAGCAGUUGAAUGAAAAUAAGAUGGAUUUUCUAAAAAUCCGUGAUUUGAGAUUUUAUCUACGAGUUUAAUAUUCUAUUAAAUACAAAUAAUUCAUAAUCAUCCGGUUAAGAUCAAUCUAAACCAGCCCAUUAUGUAUAUGAUUCAACAUGCCAACUAUUAAACAACUUAUUAGAAAUACAAGACAGCCAAUUCGAAAUGUCACGAAAUCCCCCGCUCUUCGGGGAUGUCCUCAGCGUCGAGGAACAUGUACUAGGGUGUAUGUGCGACUCGUUUAGAUCAUGAGCUGGCACAAAAAAAAGCAAGAAAACCGCUUUCCAGUAUCAAUGAUCAGUACCAGUAAAUAGGAUAGAAUGGAAGAAAGAACCCCAUUCACUAUCUAAAAAUAAGCAAAUCGAUCCCUCUAUUGUGUAUGAAGUUUAUGGUUUCCAUUGGUGCAAAUCCAAUCACCUGAAUUUAAGAUGAGAAGGAAUUCUCCAUUGGUAGCAAAUGGUUAUCUAUUAAGCGGAGGAAAUCUUAUUUCAAUUUCAAAAACAUAAAAAUGAAGCUCCCACUCUGUCAAGAACGGACUAAGAGGGUCAGCUACCCAGCUAACUUUCCUAAUUAAAUACCGUUACUGUAUAGGUGGAUCUCAUUGUGAAAGACCUAUUACUGGAUAAUUCAUGGGUAGAGCCAAAGAGUGUGGUGUGAACUAUACAAGUUACCAAUAACAUUGAUUAAAUGAAGUAAAGGCUCCGGUGUAUAGAGAAGACCUCACCGUUUAAGAAGUAACCAUAGAAACGACGGAACCCACUAUUUCUUUAUCCAUUUAAUUUAUAUUUCUUUUUACUAUAUUUUUCACACUUAGAAGAAUAAAAUUUCUUAUUUCUUUCGUAUUUCGCAGUGAAAUACAUAAAAAAAAGAAAAAA